rnacentral:lncRNA from 1 species
ACGGGGAUUCGGGGUACAAAAUAAUAAAGACAGUGAUAUACAUAUGCAGGCUAGAUCUAUUACAAUGAAGUAGAACAUGUAGAUCUAGAGUGUAAGGUUUCGACCGUCGUUGCCGGCGGGUGCAGAUCCAGCGGGAUCCAUGGCGAGGGCGUCGACGCGGUGACGGAGUAGAUCCCGUCGUCCUUCAGGCCUCCACCGGCACUGACCGACGACGGCGUGGUAGGAGUAGAACGGUGGCGGCGCGGUGGUGCUUCCCGACGCCACUGCGCACUGCCGAUCGGAAGGCCUAGGGUUUUGUCGAGUGGGGUUGUGUGCACGGCGAACUUCGUCGAACGUGCCUGCGGCCCCCACUCCUGUUUAUAUAGCGCAGCGCGUCGGGGGCCCACCAACCAUGGAUCGGUUGGGCGCCCCCGAUCAGGGCGCGAUCCAGGGGGUAAGAGGCCCCAGCCGUUGGGCUGGGCCUGAGAUCAACCUAACAUUCUCCCCCUUGAUCUCAACUGUGCUAUCUCGCUUCGUCAACUCACCCCAUCACAAAACAGUGUAUUGAGCAUGCUUCAUCUUGACAGUUAUCACUGCUAGAUUAGACAGCUACAAACACUUUUCUAUUUAGAGAUGAAUUCUCGCCUUGGGCCCCUUACUAUCCAGGAAUCACAGGCUUUCCCUUAAACCCAUGCCGGCUACAUGUUCUCUGAACACAUUGGGCGGUAAGCCUUUGGUAAGCGGAUCCGCUAGCAUCUUUUCUGUGCUUAUAUGUUCAAGACUUAUGACGUGAUCCCGGAUUUUAUCCUUGACAACAUAAUAUUUUAUGUCAAUGUGCUUGGCUGCAUUGCUUGACUUAUUGUUGUGAGCAUACAACACUGCUGGCUCGUUGUCACAAUACAACUUUAGUGGUUUAUCGAUGCUGUCGACCACCUUUAAACUGGGUAUAAAUUUCUUAAGCCAAUUCACCUGUCCUGAUGCCUCAUAACAAGCAAUAAACUCAGCAUACAUUGUGGACGAUGCAGUGACUAUUGUUUGUUUUGAGCUCUUCCAUGAUAUGGCUCCUUGCGCGAGAGUGAAUACAUACCCUGAGGUAGACUUUCUAUCAUCUCCCGCGUAAUCAGAAUCUGAAUACCCUACUAUUUGUAGGUCAUCAGAUCUUCUAUAGGUUAACAUGAGCCCUUUCGUGCCUUGCAAGUACCUUAAGACUUUCUUUACUAGAUUCCAGUGUUCCAUACCUGGAUUACUUUGAUAUCUACCAAGUAACCCGGUCACAAAGGCCAGGUCUGGGCGUGUGCACACUUGAGCAUACUGUAAGCUUCCGACAGCUGAAGCGUAUGGAACGGCUUGCAUGCGAUCGCGCUCGAACUUGCUCUUGGGACAUUGAUGUUCCCCAUACUUGUCACCUUUUACAAUAGGAGCAGGUGAAGGUCUACACUUAUGCAUAUUGAAUUUCUUCAAUAUUUUCUCUAUAUAUGCCUCUUGGGACAAUCCCAAUACCCCUCGACUUCUAUCUCGGUGAAUCUUUAUGCCCAAGACAAAAGAAGCUUCACCUAAGUCUUUCAUAUCGAAAUUUGAGGACAAAAAUCUCUUGGUUUCCUGCAGUAGAGUGACAUCACUACUGGCUAGUAGAAUGUCAUCUACAUACAGUACUAGGAAAAUGUAUUUCCCAUUCUUAAACUUUGCAUAUACGCAAUUGUCCUCAACGUUCUCUGUAAACCCAAACUUUCUGAUUGUCUUAUCAAACUUUAGAUACCACUGCCUGGAUGCUUGCUUUAAUCCAUAAAUGGAUUUCUUCAGGCGACAGCCCAUUCUUUCUUUGCCUGUCACAACAAAACCUUUCGGUUGUGCCAUGUAUACUCUUUCUUCUAGAUCCCCAUUGAGGAAAGCUGUCUUCACAUCCAUUUGAUGCAAUUCUAGAUCAAAAUGUGCCACUAGGGCCAUUAUGAUUCUAAAAGAGUCCUUGCUCGAGACGGGAGAGAAUGUUUCAUUAUAAUCUAUCCCUUCUCGCUGAGUAAAACCCUUGGCUACCAGUCUUGCUUUGUACCUUUCUAUGUUCCCUUUGGAGUCACGUUUCACCUUGUAGACCCAUUUGCAGCCUACUGUUUUGGCUCCUUCAGGAAUUUUCUCUAGGUCCCAAACUUUAUUGGUACUCAUAGACUUUAAUUCAUCUUCCAUGGCUUCUUGCCACUUAGAUGCUUCGGUGCUCCUCAUGGCUUCUUCAAAUGAAGUGGGUUCAUCCUCCAUCUGAACUUCUUCGCAUUCAUAGACUAUAUAGUCAUCUGGAAUAGGAGACUUUCUUGCUCUUUGAGGUCUGCCAGAAGUUUCUGCUACUGGCAUUUCUUCUUGAGGUUGCUCUUGUUGGGGCUGUUGUUCUUCGACUAUGGGUUCAUUCGGCUCCUGAGGGACAGGUUCCAAAUUGGCCAUAGGCGAAAAAGCAGCAGGUGUUGUCACUACUGGUGUAGAUCCAACAACAACAGGCAGCGUAAAGUAGGGUUCUUGCACCAUAGGAAUGGGCACGAACACCCGCUUCUCUUCAAGGUUAAUUUCUCGCGCUGCCUUGCUCCCCCUGAUCAUCUGAUCUUCUAGAAAACUAGCGUGUCUCGUUUCCACAAACUUGGUAUGUCUACCAGGGCAGUAGAAACGAUAACCUUUCGACUUUUCUGGAUAGCCAAUGAAAUGACAACUUACUGUUUUGGGGUCUAGCUUUCCUAUGUUUGGGUUAAACACUUUUGCUUCAGCGGGGCUCCCCCAGACACGCAGAUGGUUGACUGAGGGUUUCCUGCCGGUCCACAACUCAUACGGGGUUCUAAGUACUGACUUGCUUGGAACUCUGUUGAGAAUAUGAAUGGCGGUUUUUAAGGCCUCCAUCCACAAACUCAGUGGCAGAGUGGAAUAGCUCAUCAUGCUGCGCACCAUAUCCAUUAGAGUACGGUUACGCCUUUCUGCUACUCCAUUCUGCUGUGGGUCCCCUGGCAUUGAAUACUGAGCUACUAUGCCAUUUUCCUGUAAGAACCUUGCAAAAGGUCCAGGAACUUGUCCAUAAGGGGUAUGUCGACCGUAGUACUCCCCCCCACGGUCAGAUCUUACUACUUUGAUUUUUCUGUCUAGUUGGUUUUCAACCUCAGCCUUGAAUAUCUUAAAUUUGUCUAAAGCUUCUGAGCGUUCUUUGAUUGGAUAGAUGUAUCCAAAACGAGAGUAGUCAUCUGUGAAUGUGAUGAAGGAAUCAAAACCAUCCACAGAUGUCACUGGAAAAGGUCCACAGAUGUCUGUGUGGAUCAAUUCUAGUACUCCCAUGCUUCGCUUAGCGCCUUUCUUUAUGUUCUUUACUAACUUGCCUUUAAUGCAAUCAACGCAUUGCUCUAACUCUGAGAGUUCUAAUGGUGGGAGGAUUGAUUCUUUGACUAAGCGUUCUAUUCUCCCCCUCGAAAUAUGGCCUAAACGACAGUGCCAUAAUUUCGAUGAGGAAUCAAUUCUCUUUCUUUUCUUGCUAGCAUCUGCGGGUAUUGCAUUCUCAGCAUUAUUACAUUCAGCAUUCACAUUCUCAGACAAAGAUAAUAAAUAAAGUUUGUCUUGUCGGAAGGCAAGACCCACACAUUUAUUAUUUAACUGUAGCUUACAAUCAUUCUUGCUGAAAUGGCAAUCAAAACCAUAGUCUGACAAACAUGAAACUGAAAUUAAAUUUCUAGCUAAAGAGGGAACAUAAAGAACAUCAUGCAACUCAAGGGUGAAACCACUAGCUAAAUCUAGAGAUAAAUUUCCUAUAGCUUGAACUUCAGCUUCAACACCAGUGGCCACCUUAAUCUGUCUUUCUCCUCUUUGAAGGGUUCUCCCUCCACUGAAUCCCUGCAAAGAGUUUGCAACAUGAACAGUUGCUCCUGAGUCAAUCCACCAUGUGGAUCUAGCAUAACUUAGAUAUAAGGAUUCAUCAACAAAAGUUAUAAUGUCCUCACCUUUCACUAGGCAAUGUUUCAUGAACUUAGGGCAGUCAUGCUUCCAAUGCCCUGUCUCAUUACACCAUCUACAGCGAUCCGGGUCCUCCUGCCUGUGCUGGUUGUCUUGCUUUGGGUGUGCUUUAGGCUGUGAAGUGCUUCCUCCCUUGUUCUGGGAGGUGGAGGCAUCUGGAGCUUUCUUGUUGUAGAAUGGCUUCUUGUUCUUUCCUUUCACAAAGUUCACAGAACCACCAUUUGCAUUCUUGAGCCUUUCUUCCUCUUGCACACACAUAGCAAUCACCUUCUCUAAAUCCCACUCCUCUGGUUGUGUGUUGUAGUUAACAACAAAUGUCUCAUACUCUUUAGGAAGUGAGUUUAGAGCUAGGUGAAUGAGGAAACCAUCAGCGAGGGGCAUCUUUAGCUUCUCUAACUUGGCUGCCAUGGUGCUCAUGCUCAGAAUGUGCUCUCUCACACUCCCCCUUGUGAACCUCAUGUUAGUGAGUUUCUGGAUCAGGGUGGAAGCAUGAGCUUUGGUUGAACCAGUGAACUGAUUCUUCACUUUCUCAAGAUAUUCUUUUGCUGUGUCACAUUCUGGGAUUGCACCUCUUAGGCCCUCUGUGAUGGUUUUCUUGAUGACAAUCUUGCACUUGCGGUUUGACUUUUCCCACUUGUACUUCUCAAGAUCAUACUUUGCUCUGAUGGGAGCAAAGUCUCGCUUCCGAUUAGCAAAAGCUUCAUCGGUCUCAUUCUGAGCCCUUUCGGGCUCCUCUGGCUCAGUGGGCUUUGGCUCCUGAAGAGCCAAAUCUAUCUCAGCAAGUGCUAGAGCUGCAUCAAGUUCCUCGCGCCACAGAACAUAGUUCUGCCCCGUCAGCUUUGGGAUUGCACUGAUGAAGUGCAUCGCAUUGAGUGCUUGGUCUGAAAUUAAAUAUGAGAAAAUAGUGAGAACAUCAACAUUAAAUCUAGGAAAAAUAAUUGCAUAUCUUAAUUUAACGUUGGUCAAAAUCAAGAUAUACAAAAGGUUAACUCUCUACAUAAAUUCUAAUCACCGUUGGGCAGAAUAGAAUAUAUGCUUAAAAUUAGAACUCGAAAUUUGCAAUAUUGCUAUUAUUAACGUUGGUCAAAAAAUAACAAUAUCACAAAAAUACUGGGCUUUAAAAACUCGUUUCUCAAAUUAAAUAUCCCGUUGGUUCAAUUUAAUAGGAGAAUUAAAAUAUAACUUGCGCAGCGGAAAACAUUAAUUUUCUUGCUAUUUUCAGAAGCAUAACUUGCUGACUGUGCUUUUCUAGAUAAUAUACACGUUGGUGCAAAUUAAAUAGAAUUUAAAACUGAGCAAAAUAAUUAUUUAAAUGCUUCUGAAAAUAAAAUAAAAUAUAAAAGGAAUCACUAUGCUUAAAAAAGCCGCGGCCAGCCAUUCGGCCCACGGCCAGUUGUAGCCCAGCAGCGUGCAGUGCCCAGGGCAUGCCUAUGUUUUUUUUUUUUUUCUUCUUCUUGCUUCAUUCGGCCCAGCAGGGAAAAUCAGCCCACGGCCGAGGCUCGCGUCAGCACGGCGCUGAACAGGCCGCAACCUGGGCCGGCGGCGCGCAUUCGGCCCAGCGCUGAAACCCGCCUGGGCUCAAUUUGGUCCAAACGAAUUCUGGCCGUUGAUCUUGAUCCAGUGGCUCUCCUUUGAUCUCGGGUGGACAAAAGAGGCCCUUGGCCGGUAGGCAGUGAAACCCUAGCCCCAUUUCUCUUGCUUGCUCUCUGACUGCGUGCUGCCUGUCUCCUUCUAGCUUUCUUCUCCAGCCCAUGCCGUUACCAGCAGCAAGACCGCCGGUCCGCCGCAGCAGCAACUCGGCCUUUGUGGCCAGAGAAGGUGGCGCCCCGCGGGCCCUAUCGCCGGAGUGCGCGCUCCCCGUGAUGGUUGAGCGCGCCGCCGUCGAUGGGAGUCGCGAGGGUGCCCUGUGCUUGACCCCCAUGCGGGGUUCUUUCUCGCCGAGACUGUGCUCUUUUUUUUUUUUUUUUUUUAUCUGGAUUUCUCUGCUAUGUUUCUCGUUCUUGCUGGGGUUAGGUUUCCCUUUCCCCGAUCUGUGCUUGUACGUUCUUAUGCGUUUGGAUCUGGGCGUUAGGGUUAGGGUGGUCUCGGUUUUGACUGAGUUAGGUUUAGGAUUUCGAAAAUCCCUUCCUUCUACUUGCUGUGCUUGCUGUGCUAGUCCCCGAGCCCGAUCUACUAGUAGAUCGGCUGAUACCAUUGAAAGAUCUAACAGGAUCUACUACUAGCAAAAACGGGGAUUCGGGGUACAAAAUAAUAAAGACAGUGAUAUACAUAUGCAGGCUAGAUCUAUUACAAUGAAGUAGAACAUGUAGAUCUAGAGUGUAAGGUUUCGACCGUCGUUGCCGGCGGGUGCAGAUCCAGCGGGAUCCAUGGCGAGGGCGUCGACGCGGUGACGGAGUAGAUCCCGUCGUCCUUCAGGCCUCCACCGGCACUGACCGACGACGGCGUGGUAGGAGUAGAACGGUGGCGGCGCGGUGGUGCUUCCCGACGCCACUGCGCACUGCCGAUCGGAAGGCCUAGGGUUUUGUCGAGUGGGGUUGUGUGCACGGCGAACUUCGUCGAACGUGCCUGCGGCCCCCACUCCUGUUUAUAUAGCGCAGCGCGUCGGGGGCCCACCAACCAUGGAUCGGUUGGGCGCCCCCGAUCAGGGCGCGAUCCAGGGGGUAAGAGGCCCCAGCCGUUGGGCUGGGCCUGAGAUCAACCUAACAGCAGCAGCUAGCUAGCAGCGGCCGCUAUCACCCACGCACCAACUCCAAUUA